rnacentral:rRNA from 1 species
GUACGUAGGGGGCGUAGCGUUGUCCGGAUUUAUUGGGCGUAAAGAGCGUGUAGGCGGCCAGGUAGGUCUGCUGUGAAAACUCGAGGCUCAACCUCGAGACGUCGGCGGAAACCAUCUGGCUAGAGUCCGGAAGAGGAGAGUGGAAUUCCUGGUGUAGCGGUGAAAUGCGCAGAUAUCAGGAAGAACACCGGUGGCGAAGGCGGCGACCUGGGUAGAUACUGACGCUGAGGCGCGAAAGCGUGGGGAGCAAACAGG